UGGGGAAUAUUGCACAAUGGGCGCAAGCCUGAUGCAGCGACGCCGCGUGAGGGAUGACGGCCUUCGGGUUGUAAACCUCUUUCACCAUCGACGAAGCCUUUGGGUGACGGUAGGUGGGGAAGAAGCACCGGCUAACUACGUGCCAGCAGCCGCGGUAAUACGUAGGGUGCGAGCGUUGUCCGGAAUUAUUGGGCGUAAAGAGCUCGUAGGCGGUUUGUUGCGUCUAUCGUGAAAACCUGCGGCUUAACUGUGGGCUUGCGGUGGAUACGGGCAGACUUGAGUUCGGUAGGGGAGACUGGAAUUCCUGGUGUAGCGGUGAAAUGCGCAGAUAUCAGGAGGAACACCGGUGGCGAAGGCGGGUCUCUGGGCCGAUACUGACGCUGAGGAGCGAAAGCGUGGGGAGCGAACAG
rnacentral:rRNA from 1 species